GACGUAGGGGGCCAGCGUUGUUCGGAAUUACUGGGUGUAAAGGGUUCGUAGGCGGUGCGGCAAGUCGGGAGUGAAAUCUCUGGGCUUAACCCAGAGGCUGCUUCCGAAACUGCUGUGCUUGAGUGUGGGAGAGGCGCGUGGAAUUGCAGGUGUAGCGGUGAAAUGCGUAGAUAUCUGGAGGAACACCGGUGGCGAAGGCGGCAUCCUGGACCAACACUGACACUGAGGAGCGAAAGCCAGGGGAGCAAACGGG
rnacentral:rRNA from 1 species